rnacentral:lncRNA from 1 species
AAAGGACUAGGUGCUUAAAAUUUUUAUUAAAAAUACUCGAUGCAUCGAAAACCCUAAUGCCCAGAAACUCUUGACUAUAUCAAUCAAAGUACAAUAAAAUAAAUUUAGAUCAAAAGAAUACCUUAACACUAAUUCAAUUUCUAUGAGACGUCCAAAUAUCCAUCCUCCAAUGCUGAUCCACACAAAAAUUGAACCAAAGACAGCACUUCUUCUUCACCUUGCUUCAAGAGUUCUAGCCCCUAGAACUCAACCAGCCACCAAUCGAUCAGAUCUUCCUCCAAACCUGAGUCUGAACCUUUCUGAACCAUCCACUGGACUUGACCACCUUUUUCUAGACCUCUUAAAUCCUUAGAGCUAUUAGGAUUAUGCUUGUCUUAAAAGAACAAGCCUUGUCCUAAAACCUAGAGUUGUAAGAGAGGGAGAGAGGGAGUGGAUAGGGGAUGUAAGAAUUA